UACGGAGGGUGCAAGCGUUGUCCGGAAUUAUUGGGCGUAAAGCGUCCGCAGGUGGCAGUUCAAGUCUGCUGUUAAAUACUAGGGCUCAACCCUGGAGCGGCAGUGGAAACUGAACAGCUAGAGGUCGGUAGGGGUAGAGGGAAUUCCCCGUGUAGCGGUGAAAUGCGUAGAGAUUGGGCAGAACACCGGUGGCGAAAGCGCUCUGCUAGGCCGAACCUGACGCUCAUGGACGAAAGCUAGGGGAGCGAACGGG
rnacentral:rRNA from 1 species